UACGAGUACCCCAAGCGUUAUCCGGAAUCAUUGGGCGUAAAGGGUGUGUAGGUGGUUGUGUUAGUCUUCUGUCAAAAACUCGGGCUCAACCCGAGCUCUGCAGAGGAAACGGCACGACUCGAGGAUGCGAGAGGUGAAUGGAACUCAUGGAGUAGGGGUAAUAUCCGUUGAUAUCAUGGGGAACACCAAAAGCGAAGGCAAUUCACUGGCGCAUUCCUGACACUGAAACACGAAAGCGUGGGUAGCGAAUGGG
rnacentral:rRNA from 1 species